GUCCCUUACUGUUCAUAAGAAAUCCAAGAGCAAGAGCUUCAUUUUUCGGAAUCUUCCAGAGAAGGGAAACUAUAAAAGUACCAAUGAUCUUCCCGAAACAAGCUGUAAAUAUGACCAGAACUAGCAAACCCCAUGAUUGUACACCUUGGAUUGUAGCAACAUUCGUUUUUAGACCACUUGAGACGAAGUAUAAUGGGAGGAAAAGACCAGAUACAAGGUCCUCAACUUUUU
rnacentral:misc_RNA from 1 species